rnacentral:miRNA from 12 species
CAGUUAGUUAUUAAUCUCCAGG